AUACGGGGGGUGCAAGCGUUAUUCGGAUUUAUUGGGCGUAAAGAGCGCGUAGGCGGCUUGGUAAGUCAGAUGUGAAAGCCCGGGGCUCAACCCCGGAAGUGCAUUUGAAACUAUCAGGCUUGAGUAUGGGAGAGGGAAGUGGAAUUCCUGGUGUAGAGGUGAAAUUCGUAGAUAUCAGGAGGAACACCGGUGGCGAAGGCGACUUCCUGGACCAAUACUGACGCUGAGGCGCGAAGGCGUGGGGAGCAAACAGGAUUAGAAACCCGAGUAGUCC
rnacentral:rRNA from 1 species